rnacentral:rRNA from 1 species
UGAACGCUAGCUACAGGCUUAACACAUGCAAGUCGAGGGGCAGCAUGGUCUUAGCUUGCUAAGGCCGAUGGCGACCGGCGCACGGGUGAGUAACACGUAUCCAACCUGCCGUCUACUCUUGGACAGCCUUCUGAAAGGAAGAUUAAUACAAGAUGGCAUCAUGAGUCCGCAUGUUCACAUGAUUAAAGGUAUUCCGGUAGACGAUGGGGAUGCGUUCCAUUAGAUAGUAGGCGGGGUAACGGCCCACCUAGUCUUCGAUGGAUAGGGGUUCUGAGAGGAAGGUCCCCCACAUUGGAACUGAGACACGGUCCAAACUCCUACGGGAGGCAGCAGUGAGGAAUAUUGGUCAAUGGGCGAGAGCCUGAACCAGCCAAGUAGCGUGAAGGAUGACUGCCCUAUGGGUUGUAAACUUCUUUUAUAAAGGAAUAAAGUCGGGUAUGGAUACCCGUUUGCAUGUACUUUAUGAAUAAGGAUCGGCUAACUCCGUGCCAGCAGCCGCGGUAAUACGGAGGAUCCGAGCGUUAUCCGGAUUUAUUGGGUUUAAAGGGAGCGUAGAUGGAUGUUUAAGUCAGUUGUGAAAGUUUGCGGCUCAACCGUAAAAUUGCAGUUGAUACUGGAUAUCUUGAGUGCAGUUGAGGCAGGCGGAAUUCGUGGUGUAGCGGUGAAAUGCUUAGAUAUCACGAAGAACUCCGAUUGCGAAGGCAGCCUGCUAAGCUGCAACUGACAUUGAGGCUCGAAAGUGUGGGUAUCAAACAGGAUUAGAUACCCUGGUAAUCCACACAGUAAACGAUGAAUACUCGCUGUUUGCGAUAUACAGCAAGCGGCCAAGCGAAAGCGUUAAGUAUUCCACCUGGGGAGUACGCCGGCAACGGUGAAACUCAAAGGAAUUGACGGGGGCCCGCACAAGCGGAGGAACAUGUGGUUUAAUUCGAUGAUACGCGAGGAACCUUACCCGGGCUUAAAUUGCAGAUGAAUUACGGUGAAAGCCGUAAGCCGCAAGGCAUCUGUGAAGGUGCUGCAUGGUUGUCGUCAGCUCGUGCCGUGAGGUGUCGGCUUAAGUGCCAUAACGAGCGCAACCCUUGUUGUCAGUUACUAACAGGUUCCGCUGAGGACUCUGACAAGACUGCCAUCGUAAGAUGUGAGGAAGGUGGGGAUGACGUCAAAUCAGCACGGCCCUUACGUCCGGGGCUACACACGUGUUACAAUGGGGGGUACAGAGGGCCGCUACCACGCGAGUGGAUGCCAAUCCCCAAAACCUCUCUCAGUUCGGACUGGAGUCUGCAACCCGACUCCACGAAGCUGGAUUCGCUAGUAAUCGCGCAUCAGCCACGGCGCGGUGAAUACGUUCCCGGGCCUUGUACACACCGCCCGUCAAGCCAUGGGAGCCGGGGGUACCUGAAGUGCGUAACCGCGAGGAGCGCCCUAGGGUAAAACUGGUGACUGGGGCUA